CCGUUAUAGACCAUCCACUACAAAACCAACACACAGCAUUGUACUGUCAAACUCAAAUAUGAACGGACAAAGAGGAAUGAGAACACUUUGUGCCUAUGCUAAAGGCCUCGAUCACAUAUUUGCAUCCAUCAGACAAUGGACAGCAAGUGAAAACUGAUAUAUGGUUAAGCCUAUGCUAUCCAUUGAAUAAUGAGCACACUUUGCGCAGGUACAUUGUACAAGAGCCACUAUUAAGGAACAAAACGUUACUGAAAUGUACCAUACAGACUAUUACAACAAUUCAGCAUUCAAAUGUUAGAAACAAAGAGGCCCUUUCUAGCCUUUCGAAUGAGGUGAAUGAUUUUAGUAAUCAUCAACGUGUUAAUAACUUACAUCAAAAUGGAAACAAAAGGAACAACAAUUUAGGUCUCUCACCAAAUAAGAAUCAAAAUGGACCAAAGACCAGAAUCCUACCAGUGCACGAUCACAUCAAGCCUUCUUGCUAGUUGGGCUUGCCUCCUGUUUGCCCUGCUCAGCCAAUGAAAAUUUCUUCACUUUCUGUGGGAAAAAUGACCAAAAAAAAAAAAAAAAAAGAGGAAACACAUCCCAUAAGAACAAGAAUCAAAACGGACCAAAGGCAUGUUAACUGCUUUACAUGAAUGUUUGUAAAUGUUGUCUCCAUGGUGAAGUCCAGUAAACAUUCUAAUCAUACAGUGAUUUAGAUGCUCUAAAGAUUCAAAAAAACAAAUAACGCAAAGCAGCCGCCUCACUGAGCUUUGAAUCCUCAACACCAGGAUCAUCUAAUAGCUAGAUUCCAUCAUCAUCAUCAAAUAAUGCUUGUUUCUAUUUUAUGACACCUAGUUUGAAUAUGGACACAUCCAAACAGAAUGUGCAACGCAUUGAAGCUGUAGCAUUUCAUUUACCUCAUGUCAUAUAUCAAAACGAGAAAAACAACCGUCAUGACAGUAAGCUUUUCCAUUAAAAUCUUACCGCCACGUGAUAACUAACCAGAAGAGGAUAAGUUCGCCGAGGCAAGCUUAAUGAUCAAUGAGUCCACAUUUCUCAUUUAGGAGAAAAAGCAAAAAUGAACAGACAGAACUUGCAAACUAUUUAUAAGGAGUCCUUGAGAAAAAAAAAGGUAAAUGGGCCAAAAAAUUCCUAAGCUUAAGAAGCUUUCCCUCGCCCUCUCUCUCUCUAGCUUUCUUUUGGGGAUGGAACAGAAACAGAGCUCUGAUCAAAAUUUAAACAAUUCUCUCCUAAACAAGCAGUUUGACAAUCUUAAACACGAGCCUUCCAUAUGAAAACUGAAUCGAAGCAUUUUUAACACCUAUUAAUCAACUGCAUAGGCUUUUGCUUCUCCAUGCCUUAAGACACGAUUUAAGUAAGUUGUAAGCGCUUCAUUACAUGUUUCACGGGAGAUUUACAAAGAGAUUCAAGUUUUCCACAGGAUAUAUUAAAAAAAAAAAAGGAAUAGAAAUAGUGCGAAUUGAAAAAUAAAAUACCUUGCUGACGACGCAGUCUCUCAAAGCGUUUAAUAGAUGAAGGCAUUUGUCUUGAUCGAACGGCGAUUGGGUGACGCAGUUGAGUAGAUCCAACGCCUGUUGCGCGCACUCAGGCUUAUCGCUUGUUUUCUCGAUUGCCAUUAAUCGUAGAAUUAAAGUUAGGGAUUUAGUCAAGGUUUAGGCGAGGCAUGCGUUUGGCUUUCUAGAAGGAGAAAGUGCUCCCCGCCUUUGUAAUUGUAAAUCCGCGGCUUUGCCUGCUGUUUCGUUUUCUCCAAGCAAAUGUAUUCUCUGAACGAUUGCCA
rnacentral:lncRNA from 1 species